GGGGGUUCGGUUCCCGAAUGGGGAGCCA
rnacentral:misc_RNA from 1 species